GUGAACGCUGGCGGCGUGCCUAACACAUGCAAGUCGAACGAGAAAGGGUUCUUCGGAACCCAAGUAGAGUGGCGAACGGGUGAGUAACGCGUAGGAAACCUGCCUUUUAGUGGGGGACAACCACCGGAAACGGUGGCUAAUACCGCAUAUGAUUCUUUUAACACAUGUUUUUUGGAUCAAAGACAGCCUCUUCUUGAAAGCUGUUGCUAAAAGAGGGUCCUGCGUUGUAUCAGAUUGUUGGUGAGGUAAUGGCUCACCAAGUCUAAGACGCAUAGCCGGCCUGAGAGGGUGUACGGCCACACUGGGACUGAGAUACGGCCCAGACUCCUACGGGAGGCAGCAGUGAGGAAUUUUCCGCAAUGGGCGCAAGCCUGACGGAGCGACGCCGCGUGAAGGAUGAAGGCUUUCGAG
rnacentral:rRNA from 1 species